CACGCAAGGGGAACAGCCAGCGCAGAGGCCACGGGGUUCAGGAACAGCAAGAAGAUCGGGGACACUGGGUCCUGGAAGGCCCUGAGAAGGGAAGUCGGGAAGGAGGGAGCAUCCGGGGGCAGAUGAGUAAAGAGUAAAGAAGCCGGAGGACAGUCGCAGAAAAGGUAAUGGAAUGGAUACAAGGCCACGCUUGCGCGUGAGGGGACAGGACCAGGUUCCAGUCUCUAAAUUUAACUCAGCACAGGGCCGGGGCGAACCUGCGCUGGCGGAACCUGACACCGUGGCCCGAGCGCCAGGCCCUUGCCCCGGCGAUGCUGGGUCGGCCUCGGUCGGAAACCGGGAGUGGCGCUGGCAGCAUUUGUGCGCCCACCUGUCGCGGCCCGUUUCCCGCGGCUGACUGGGUCAGGCUGGGGCGGCCUGGAGAGUCUGAGGGACGGGGGCGAGGGGGAGAGGCCG
ensembl:lncRNA novel transcript